UUACAUAGUGAGGCUACCGAACGUUGGAAACAGCGGUUAGGAGCUUACACCCACCCGUGUUUACAUACUAUUGUUGCUUUGGCGGGCCGUGGCCUCCACUGCGGGCUCUGCUCGUGUGUGCCCGCCAGAGAACCAAACUCUGAAUGUUAGUGAUGUCUGAGUACUAUCUAAUAGUUAAAACUUUCAACAACGGAUCUCUUGGUUCUGGCAUCGAUGAAGAACGCAGCGAAAUGCGAUAAGUAAUGUGAAUUGCAGAAUUCAGUGAAUCAUCGAAUCUUUGAACGCACAUUGCGCCCUGUGGUAUUCCGCAGGGCAUGCCUGUUCGAGCGUCAUUUAACCACUCACGCCUAGCGUGGUAUUGGGGCACGCGGUCUCCGCGGCCCUCAAAAUUAGUGGCGGCGCCGGUGGGCUCUAAGCGUAGUACAUACUCCCGCUAUGGAGUUCCCCCCGGUGGCUUGCCAGAACCCCCAAUUUUUACAGGUUGACCUCGGAUCAAGGAGGGAUACCCGCU
rnacentral:rRNA from 1 species